UCCUGCUCAGUGGUCGGCUCUGGUCUUCAUCUUACUGUCAUCAGAUCUGGAUGAGUUCGACCUGAAGAAAUACUCCCGUUCAGAGGAGGCAUUGUUGAAGCUGCUGCCAGUGGUCAAAGCAUCCAAGAAAGUGCUGCUGAGAGAUUGUAAACUCUCAAAAAGAAGCUUUGAAGCUUUGUCUGAAAUUCUCAGCUCCCCAUCCAAUCAUCUGAGAGAGCUGGACCUGAGCUUGAACAAGCUGCAGGAUUCAGGAUUGGAUUUGCUGUGUGUUGGACUAAAGAGUCCUGACAGUAAACUUGAAACUCUCAGAUUGGAGCGCUGUGGUUUGUCAGAGAUCAGCUGUG